rnacentral:tRNA from 1 species
GCCUGGGUGGCUCAAUCAGUUAAGCAUCUGACUUCGGCUCAGGUCACGAUCUCACGUUUUGUGGGUUCAAGCCCCGCAUUGGGCU